AAACAUUACAUAAAGUAAUAAUAAUUUAGCAUUUACAUUAUAAAAGAUUUGUUUAUGCAUUCAAACAAUGUAAUGAAUCAAGGUAAUCCCCAUUACAUUACACCUUUGAACAAGUCAAACCAAAUAUCCUGAAAUAUUGCCAACGAAGAUCUAUUUCACAUGGCAAAGCAAGUUAACAAUUAUUCUAUCUCUAUCUGUUGUGGGGUUUCUUCUAGUUUUGACCCUUCAGCAUCAAUAUCUUCUGUUGUAAUUCCAGACGCUUCCACUGUUCUCGUGACCCAUUCUUUAAGUGGUUCUUCAUCCAAAUCAAGCCUAAGAAACCCUGCAAACAUCCCACCCAGGAAAGCAACUGGCUCCCUUAGAGCUUCUUUGAGGAUGGGUUCAUUGGUGGGGUUGAAUAAGCACGAAGCUUUAACCCGAAAAGUAGAUGGUUCUCUGCUAAUGAUAUCCAAACCCAUUAACCCUCCACUUUUUUUGAGAUUCAGCCAAGAAGACGUAGAUGACCAUCUCUGUAAAUGGUUUUCUCUUGGCAGCUUCUUCAAAUUCAAAUUCCACACGCCGCACGAAUGAUUAUUGACAGACACCACCAUUUUCUUCCUCUUCUUCUUUAUUUCUUCGCUUCCUCCUGC
rnacentral:misc_RNA from 1 species